UACGGGGGGAGCAAGCGUUGUUCGGAUUUACUGGGCGUAAAGGGCGCGUAGGCGGCCACCGCAAGUCAGUUGUGAAAUCUCUGGGCUUAACCCAGAAAGGUCAACUGAUACUGCGGGGCUAGAGUGCAGAAGGGGCUACUGGAAUUCUCGGUGUAGCGGUGAAAUGCGUAGAUAUCGAGAGGAACACCUGCGGCGAAGGCGGGUAGCUGGGCCGACACUGACGCUGAGGCGCGAAAGCCAGGGGAGCGAACGGG
rnacentral:rRNA from 1 species